rnacentral:rRNA from 1 species
UGAUCAUGGCUCAGGACGAACGCUGGCGGCGUGCCUAACACAUGCAAGUCGAGCGAUGAUAUCCCUUCGGGGAUUGAUUAGCGGCGGACGGGUGAGUAACACGUGGGUAACCUGCCUCAAAGAGGGGGAUAGCCCUCCGAAAGGAGGAUUAAUACCGCAUAAAGUUGAGAGUUCGCAUGAACAUUCAACCAAAGGAGCAAUCCGCUUUGAGAUGGACCCGCGUCCCAUUAGCUAGUUGGCGAGGUAAUAGCUCACCAAGGCGACGAUGGGUAGCCGACCUGAGAGGGUGAUCGGCCACAUUGGAACUGAGAUACGGUCCAGACUCCUACGGGAGGCAGCAGUGGGGAAUAUUGCGCAAUGGGGGAAACCCUGACGCAGCAACGCCGCGUGGGCGACGAAGGUCUUCGGAUUGUAAAGCCCUGUCUUCUGGGACGAUAAUGACGGUACCAGAGGAGGAAGCCACGGCUAACUACGUGCCAGCAGCCGCGGUAAUACGUAGGUGGCAAGCGUUGUCCGGAAUUACUGGGCGUAAAGGGUGCGUAGGCGGAUAUUUAAGUGGGAUGUGAAAUACCUGAGCUCAACUCG